rnacentral:misc_RNA from 1 species
CGGCUGCCUGGGACGGGCCGGCUCGAGAGAGAAGCCACCAGUUUGAGCAGACAGUCAGUGAGAGAAGUGCAGUGAGUGAGGCUGCGUGGUUGGCGGCAGGGAGGCCACAGGCAUCGUGCCUACGUCGGGAGGAGUACAACACCGAGCCGUCGUCCGUCAACGAGGACCCCAACAAGACCGUCACCCGCGGCGGGAUGUUCUCCUGAAGCCGCAAAGCAACCACAACGCCGCCCCCAAGAUCAACAACAUCAACAAGCAGUGAAACCCGGAAGAAUCAGAAACUUUUAAAAAGCGAACUUGAACAAACUCAAAGUGACAGCCGACUUUACUGACUGAAACUAACUCCAGUGCGAGGUUUGCUCCGCGUGUUACAAGUGGAGUGCCCAGCAGGCCCUCAUCCUCGUCGAGCAGCCGCUUGGACUAAACCCGCCGACAUGCUGUGCUCCGUGGCGAUGCCCGCCGAGUACGAGGUGCCGGCCUUCCACCGGCCCCCGCCCAUGCGGCGCCCCGCGUCCCUGAACCUGGCCGUCAGGGUGCCGGUGCCCGCCGCGCCGCGCCGGCCCUGCCUGGUGGUGCGCGCCGGCGGCGAGGGCGAGGAGGCCGUGGUGGAGCAGAGGCAGCUGGAGCAGCCCGCCGACCUCUCGCCCACGCGCAACAAGAAGCGAGUCGUCUUCGCGGACGACGCGGGACGCCAGCUAACGCACGUUAAGGUCAUGACGGAGCCCAGCUUCGCCCCGCCCAGGUGGAGCAUGGCCUUCCUGGCGCAGGUGACCCGCGGCGCGGCGGCCGAGGUGUGCCCCGAGCCCUGGGAGCCCGCGUUCGCGCAGCCGGCCUCGGACUACCUGGCUUUCCGCAGCCGCCUGGACCGCGACAACGUGAGCCUGGAGAACGUGAUAGUGCGCGAGGCGGAGCAGGUCGUGGUGGGCACCGUCAAGGUGCGCAACCUGGCCUUCCACAAAGAGGUGCUGGUGCGGUCGACGUCGGACGACUGGGCCACCCACGAGGACACGUACUGCACCUUCGUGCGCACCAGCGCGUCGGCCGGCGUGCCCGUCCUCUACGACACCUUCUCCUUCCGCCUCGUGCUGCCGCCCCAGUCCAGGCGCCUCGAGUUCUGCGUGCGCUUCCACUGCGAGGGCCACGAGCAGGACUACUGGGACAGCAACGGCGGCAAGAACUAUGUGCUGCUCAAGAAGAACUCGCCCUACAACACGUCCUCCAACAGUGUGGAUGACCUGACGGCCAAGAUUGGAGAGCUGACGACCGACCAUCACUACACCAGCAGCUUCUCGAGUCCUCCAUCACAACAUGGUCAAGCUGUCUACGACAAAGUGGACUCGUGGUCAGAAUUCGCUUCGUGGAAUCAUCUGAGUGUGGAUGGACCUUAUUGGUGAAGGUCUCUCUGGUCUCCCACAGGCAUGCAGUCAGGCUUCACAUCAAGAGACAUGCGUUUGUGUGUGGUACUUCUAAAAUCUUGCCUGAUUGUCGACUUUGUCGGCUCAAGUCCAUCCAGACCCCCAUUGUGAUAUCACCCGCCAUGAAUUGUAAAUAAUUCAUCUUAGUGAUGUAUGAAUUUCAUCCUAAAGACUGAUUUGUAAGCAUAAACCAUUAGUUAAUUCACAGAUGAAUUUUCAACAAAUAUUAAUGUGUAAAUUAGAAUGUUUUAAAUCAUAACUGGAGAAAAGUUACAGGUGUAUUUUAUUAGUUGAUGCAUGAAACAAACUUAAUCAGAAUGUCUGAUUAACCCCGUUCAGAACUCCUGACAAUGUUAAAGUGAUAAAUUCAUGUUUUUAUUCUCUCCUUUGGAUGACAAAAUUCCUAAACUGGCAUACUUUAGCUUUCCUGUUGAGCAUGGUGAAUAUUUGAGGAUGUUUGAUUAUGUUUUAGUUUUGACUGUGAUAUAAUGUGGAUUAAGACAAGUGUGCCAGCAAUUAAAAUCUUGAUAACAUAGCCAUGUUGGUAAUUCAUGUAUGAAGGGUUGUUACUUUCAUGAAUUGACAAUAGCUUGUGUGAAGUUUAAAUUUUAUAUUAGAAUAUUUUUACAUAAGCCAUUCCAGGGUUCAGCUUUGCGGGUUUUAUUUAAGGCCCGUAAAGAUUAUGUAGGGCUUAGAUCAUGGGUCAUCUUCUUACUAUUUGAGGACAGUGGUUGUAUUGUUGUAGUGUUAGCUUCAGAGUUGCCAUUAUAGGAACUGUUGUGCCUUUUUAUUGUGUUGUUGCUUGUUUUGUUUAUGUUAAAGGCAAUGCAGUUUUAAGUCUUCCAGAGCCUUAUCAUUCUAUGGGGUUAGUUUUGAGAUAAUAGUAUCUCUUACACCAAGCAGAACUGAUCUUUUCUUUUUUUUUAUUAUCGAUGUUUUAAUGAAUUUUAAGGUGUCUUUGUACUGAAUCAUUUUAUCAUUAACAAAUGUAAUAUAGCUGUGAAUAUCUGCUUGUAUUAAUGGACUACAAUAAUUUAUCACUCUAGUCAGUAAUUUAACGAAAUAUUGUCAUCAUUUCAUUCAGUCACUCCAUUGUGUUUUUUUUUUUGUAAGUAAAUGUGGAAAGAUCCUUUUAAUGAGAUGAGGCUGUUCUAAGGUGACUUUAAUUAUGUUUUAAUUUUUCAUGAAAAUAUUAGUUUUCAAUAACAA